UAGCAAGGUUAAGCACUUAAGGUGCGGAGCCGUAGCGAAAGCGAGUUUUAACUGAGCGUUCAGUUACUGGACGUAGACCCGAAACCGGGCGACCUACCCAUGAGCAGGAUGAAGCGAAAGUAAAAUUGCGUGGAGGUCCGAACCCACGAGCGUUGAAAAGCUCGGGGAGGACUUGUGGGUAGCGGUGAAAUUCCAAUCGAGCCCGGAGAUAGCUGGUUCUCCCCGAAAUAGCUUUAGGGCUAGCCUCAAGGUGAGAGAUACGGAGGUAGAGCACUGAAUGUCCUAGGGGGUAUUGCACCU
rnacentral:rRNA from 1 species